CCUACGGGUGGCAGCAGUGGGGAAUAUUGCGCAAUGGGGGAAACCCUGACGCAGCAACGCCGCGUGAGUGAGGAAGUAUCUCGGUAUGUAAAGCUCUAUCAGCGGGGAAGAGGGAAGACGGUACCCGACUAAGAAGCCCCGGCUAACUACGGUCCAGCAGCCGGGGGAAUACGGAGGGGGGGAGCGUUAUCCGGAUUUACUGGGUGGAAAGGGAGCGUAGACGGCGUCGCAAGUCUGAAGUGAAAGCCCGUGGCUCAACCGCGGAACCGCUUUGGAAACUGCGAGGCUGGAGUGCUGGAGAGGUAAGUGGAAUUCCUGGUGUAGCGGUGAAAUGCGUAGAUAUUAGGAGGAACACCAGUGGCGAAGGCGGUUUGCUGGACAGUGACUGACGUUGAGGCGCGAAAGCGUGGGGAGCAAACAGGAUUAGAUACCCCAGUAGUC
rnacentral:rRNA from 1 species